AGUGAACGCUGGCGGUAGGCCUAACACAUGCAAGUCGAACGGCAGCACAGUAAGAGCUUGCUCUUACGGGUGGCGAGUGGCGGACGGGUGAGGAAUACAUCGGAAUCUACUUUUUCGUGGGGGAUAACGUAGGGAAACUUACGCUAAUACCGCAUACAACCUACGGGUGAAAGCAGGGGAUCUUCGGACCUUGCGCGAUUGAAUGAGCCGAUGUCGGAUUAGCUAGUUGGCGGGGUAAAGGCCCACCAAGGCGACGAUCCGUAGCUGGUCUGAGAGGAUGAUCAGCCACACUGGAACUGAGACACGGUCCAGACUCCUACGGGAGGCAGCAGUGGGGAAUAUUGAACAAUGGGCGCAAGCCUGAUCCAGCCAUACCGCGUGGGUGAAGAAGGCCUUCGGGUUGUAAAGCCCUUUUGUUGGGAAAGAAAAGCAGCAGGUUAAUACCCCGCUGUUCUGACGGUACCCAAAGAAUAAGCACCGGCUAACUUCGUG
rnacentral:rRNA from 1 species